UCUCCUCGCCAGCGACCGGCAGAGGAUAGUGAAUCUCUGCCUCCCUACGCAGAGAAGGAGUUGGAGCGUUCCCGAGGAGCCGAGACCGGACAACAAUGCUCCGGUCACGGGCAGAGGAGAGUGAACACACUGCUGACCAGACACACUCUCGAGGUCUGAUGUCCUCACACACGAGGACGAAACACUGCCGGCUCGUGACCCUGCGGAGAACCAGCCUGUGGAACCGAGGUUUGUGGGUCUGAGAUAUGUUUUACAGACUUCCCCUAAAAUGGGUCAUAGCUGUCAUGGAGAAAAUAUACAGAGUUCAUUCCUGAGGUACACGGACACUCACUGGACGAGACUCUUCCUGACCGUUCAAGUGGAUGAGUGUUGGAUAAAAACAUUUGCUACACAGUGAAAUGCUGAUGUUUACAUGAAAUGUUGCUGAACGUUAUAUAUGAGGUUAUCAUAUCGUUUACUUCACAUAUGUUCAUAAUCUCAGAGCGCUCUGUAUGAAUGGAAUGUUACUUUGUUACAUUCUGACAAAAUGUAUCAGGAAACACAUUCAUAACUGCUGUUCGCUAACACAUGUUGUGUUGUUCUUGCACAAGAUAUUAAUAUCAUUGCAGAUCUUGUUAUACUCACAUUUUCUAUCAGUAUUAAGUGAUUUUCACAUUAAUAAAUGUAAUAUUGUGUGUAUUUUAGUGGAUGAUACUGACUGUCAUGUAAAGCUGAGCAAAUCUGUUUAAGGACACAGAGCAAGAUUACAGGAAGUCAUUUGGUUUCUGUGGUUCUGCAGGUUUAUCACCCGAACUCAUCAUGUGAGAUAAGACAUUUCAUGUAAUGACUGUAACGAAUUCAUUGAAGCUCACGUCUGGAUGAUAUAUGCUGAUUUCUGAACCGCAUAGCCGGCUAGUAAUCUUCUCAUACUAGUUUGACUGUAUCCUUCUAAAGCAGAAACAGCAAGAGUAGUAGGGUUGGGUACCGAACUCGGUACUUUUAAUGGCACGGACCGAAUUACGUCAGAACUACCGAGUAGCGAUUCACACUAAAUCAAUCGAUGUCAUGCGCGGUUUCAUUUACCACACGCACACACUGAAGCACGCGUGACGCUCGCGGGGCUCUUCAGCCUCUGCAGUCUCACUACAGGACAGCCUGAAUGCAUGAACUUCAUUUCCAGAGCCGCUCUGAAGUUCAUCAGCAUUCAUCAGUUUCAUUCUAGAAAAAAACUAUCGUUAUAUCAUUAACACACACAAACUCAAAGGUCUUCAGCACAACCCUUCAAAAUAAAAGCUCGCUUUAACUUGAUAAUGUAUUACUGUUGUACAGUAGAAUUUACAUAUCUCAAUUUAAUAAUAACACUAAUAAUGAUUAUCAAAAAUGUAUUUUUAAAGGAAUAAUCACACUUUUUCUUCUAUAUUGUAAUUUUAACAGUAUAAAGUUGUGUCGCAUGUUCGUUGACACAAACAUUUAAUCUCGUGUAAAAGAUCAAUUAAAUUAAUAUUUAUUAAUGUCUUCUUUUGAUCACUAGAAAAUUCACAACAAAGAAUUUGUGGAAAACCAAACAAUUCUUGGAAUUUUUUUAUUCCUAAGUGGUUGUGUUUAUUAAUAUUCAAGCGUCACAGAUGAUGGCAGACAGAGACCAAGGCAGCUCUGGAAUAAUGGCAAUAAUACUUCUAUAAAUGAUUUGGUUUCUUUACAGUUAUUGACGUAAACAUGCCUAAAUUACAGAAAGAAAGUACCGUUGGGUGCCGGCACCGGAUUUCAGGUACGGUAAAUGCGAACAGAACCCAACCGUGAGGAGGAGUGUGUGUUUCUGAAUGGAGCAAUAGUUCAGGAUUCCCUCGACGUCACAGUGUAUUGUGCAGCGGACACAGCCGGUCCUUCUCCGAAGGGUCCGGUGUCCAGCGUGACGUCACCGGCUGAUGACCUCAUCAUAUGCUGACGUUAUCGGCUGAUGACCUCAUCAUAUGCUGACGUUAUCGGCUGAUGACCUCAUCAUAUGCUGCCAGGAGAUCUCAGACUGACGGCUGUGUGUUCACCUGCAUUACUCUACUAUUCUUUAUCUAUGAAAUAUGUGUAAGUUAGCUGUAUCAAACUAAAAAUGAUUUUAUCCUAAUACUUGAGAAAAUCGUAAAAUACAAUUACAUUGAAGAUCA